GAUGAACGCUAGCGGCAGGCUUAACACAUGCAAGUCGAGGGGUAUAGUUCUUCGGAAUUAGAGACCGGCGCACGGGUGCGUAACGCGUAUGCAAUCUACCUUUCACAGAGGGAUAGCCCAGAGAAAUUUGGAUUAAUACCUCAUAGUAUAGCAGUUUCGCAUGAAACCACUAUUAAAGUCACAACGGUGAAAGAUGAGCAUGCGUCCCAUUAGCUAGUUGGUAAGGUAACGGCUUACCAAGGCAACGAUGGGUAGGGGUCCUGAGAGGGAGAUCCCCCACACUGGUACUGAGACACGGACCAGACUCCUACGGGAGGCAGCAGUGAGGAAUAUGGACAAUGGGCGCAAGCCUGAUCCAGCCAUGCCGCGUGACAGGAUGACGGUCCUAUGGAUUGUAAACUGCUUUUAUACAGGAAGAAACUACUACUUCGUGAAGUAGCUUGACGGUACUGUAAGAAUAAGGAUCGGCUAAACUCCGUGCCAGCAGCC
rnacentral:rRNA from 1 species